ACUAAACAGUGGACGAGCAAUACUAUUUGUAUAAUUAAGGAGGGAAUAAUCAACACAUCAAGGACAACAACACGAAUCUUAACCUAGGAUUGCACGUAAAAAUAUUGCACUUAUUCAUCAUAAACAUAUUGAAUGCCUACAUCUCUUGUUGUUAGGCAGUUGUUUGCGUGGAGCGUGAUUCCGCCGUUUUUAUCACACCCCUUCUCUUGUUUCCCGAACAAUUGGGACAAACCGGAGUAACAACACCUAUGAGUCCACAUCUAUAACAGAACAAAUUUCUCUGAAUACUCGGGCAAUCAGUAAAUAAGUGACCUGGCAAUCUGCAGUUCCAGCAAAGAAUUCUCUCUGUAGUCACCGUAUUUGAUUUCUUCUAUAAGCUCGCGUAUAAGACCAGCAUAAGCCCUAGGGCUAUUGCCCGAUGAAAAACCCUUUUGAUCGUGUGGGACCUUUGGAGGUGGAAAAUUAAAGGUUUUAGGAGGAGCAAAAGUUUUCGGAAUUGCUCCGGUUGGUUCACUUGGGAGUACCGUCGGUGUUUCUGACAGUGGAUUACUAGUAUGCUUCCCUAUCGGCAUUCAUCGGAGUUCUCCCUACUGGCAUUUUUUUUAAAAUCUUAAUAUAUAUCUAUAUUGGCAAAUUAUAUUUUUGAUGUUGUUAAAAAAAAACAGCCUUAAACAUAAAAUAAACAA